UACGUAGGGUGCAAGCGUUGUCCGGAAUUAUUGGGCGUAAAGAGCUCGUAGGCGGUUUGUUGCGUCGGCUGUGAAAUCCCGAGGCUCAACCUCGGGUCUGCAGUCGAUACGAGCAAACUAGAGUGUUGCAGGGGAGACUGGAAUUCCUGGUGUAGCGGUGAAAUGCGCAGAUAUCAGGAGGAACACCGGUGGGCGAAGGCGGGUCUCUGGGCAACAACUGACGC
rnacentral:rRNA from 1 species